rnacentral:rRNA from 1 species
ACUCAAAUGAAUUGACGGGGGCCCGCACAAGCAGCGGAGCGUGUGGUUUAAUUCGAUGAUACGCGAAGAACCUUACCAGGGUUUGACAUACAAGUGGUAGAGAAAGGAAACUGGACCGACCCUUCGGGGAGCUUGAACAGGUGCUGCAUGGCUGUCGUCAGCUCGUGUCGUGAGAUGUUCGGUUAAGUCCGCUAACGAGCGCAACCCUUGUUGUGUGUUACAAGUAUCACGCAAGACCGCCGGUAGAAAGCCGGAGGAAGGUGGGGAUGACGUCAAGUCAGCAUGGCCUAUAUAUCCUGGGCUACACACACGCUACAAUGAUCGGUACAAUGGGUCGCGAAGCCGCGAGGCGGAGCCAAUCCUAAAAAGCCGGUCUCAGUGCAGAUUGCAGGCUGCAACUCGCCUGCAUGAAGAUGGAGUUGCUAGUAACCGCAGGUCAGCGAUACUGCGGUGAAUACGUUCCCGGGCCUUGUACACACCGCCCGU